rnacentral:rRNA from 1 species
GAUGAACGCUGGCGGCGUGCCUAAUACAUGCAAGUCGAGCGAACAGACGAGGAGCUUGCUCCUCUGACGUUAGCGGCGGACGGGUGAGUAACACGUGGAUAACCUACCUAUAAGACUGGGAUAACUUCGGGAAACCGGAGCUAAUACCGGAUAAUAUAUUGAACCGCAUGGUUCAAUAGUGAAAGACGGUUUUGCUGUCACUUAUAGAUGGAUCCGCGCCGCAUUAGCUAGUUGGUAAGGUAACGGCUUACCAAGGCAACGAUGCGUAGCCGACCUGAGAGGGUGAUCGGCCACACUGGAACUGAGACACGGUCCAGACUCCUACGGGAGGCAGCAGUAGGGAAUCUUCCGCAAAGGGCGAAAGCCUGACGGAGCAGCGCCGCGUGAGUGAUGAAGGUCUUCGGAUCGUAAAACUCUGUUAUUAGGGAAGAACAAAUGUGUAAGUAACUAUGCACGUCUUGACGGUACCUAAUCAGAAAGCCACGGCUAACUACGUG